AGUGAACGCUGGCGGUAGGCCUAACACAUGCAAGUCGAACGGCAGCACAGUAAGAGCUUGCUCUUACGGGUGGCGAGUGGCGGACGGGUGAAGAAUACAUCGGAAUCUACUUUUUCGUGGGGGAUAACGUAGGGAAACUUACGCUAAUACCGCAUACGACCUACGGGUGAAAGCAGGGGAUCUUCGGACCUUGCGCGAUUGAAUGAGCCGAUGUCGGAUUAGCUAGUUGGCGGGGUAAAGGCCCACCAAGGCGACGAUCCGUAGCUGGGCUGAGAGGAUGAUCAGCCACACUGGAACUGAGACACGGUCCAGACUCCUACGGGAGGCAGCAGUGGGGAAUAUUGGACAAUGGGCGCAAGCCUGAUCCAGCCAUACCGCGUGGGUGAAGAAGGCCUUCGGGCUGUAAAGCCCUUUUGUUGGGAAAGAAAAGCAGCAGGUUAAUACCCCGCUGUUCUGACGGUACCCAAAGAAUAAGCACCGGCUAACUUCGUG
rnacentral:rRNA from 1 species